ACGGAAGGCAGCAGCUAAGAAUACUCCGCAAUGGACGAAAGUCUGACGGAGCGACGCCGCGUGGAUGAUGAAGGCCGGAAGGUUGUAAAAUCCUUUUAUGACUGAGGAAUGAGCAGAAUGAGAGAAACGUUUUGUGGUGACUGUAGGUCAUGAAUAAGCAACGGCUAAUUACGUGCCAGCAGCCGCGGUAACACGUAAGUUGCGAGCGUUGUUCGGAAUUAUUGGGCGUAAAGGGCAUGUAGGCGGUUUUGCAAGCUUGGUGUGAAAUCCCGGAGCUUAACUCCGGAAUUGCGUUGAGAACUGCAUAACUAGAGUCACUGAGGGGCAAUCAGAAUUCCUGGUGUAGGGGUGAAAUCUGUAGAUAUCAGGAAGAAUACCAAUGGCGAAGGCAGGUUACCAGCAGAUGACUGACGCUGAGGUGCGAAGGUGCGGGGAGCAAACAGGAUUAGAUACCCUGGUA
rnacentral:rRNA from 1 species